rnacentral:rRNA from 1 species
CUUUACUGUAGCUUUGUAUUGGACUUUGAACAGAUCUGUGUAGGAUAGGUGGGAGGCUUUGAAGUGUGGUCGCUAGAUCACAUGGAGCCAACGUUGAAAUACCACCCUGGUGUGUUUGAGGUUCUAACCUAGGCCCGUUAUCCGGGCCGGGGACCGUGCAUGGUAGGCAGUUUGACUGGGGCGGUCUCCUCCUAAAGCGUAACGGAGGAGUUCGAAGGUACGCUAGUUACGGUCGGACAUCGUGACGAUAGUGCAAUGGCAUAAGCGUGCUUAACUGCGAGACUGACAAGUCGAGCAGAUGCGAAAGCAGGACAUAGUGAUCCGGUGGUUCUGUAUGGAAGGGCCAUCGCUCAACGGAUAAAAGGUA